GGGUUGUGAGGUUAAGCGACUAAGCGUACACGGUGGAUGCCCUGGCAGUCAGAGGCGAUGAAGGGCGUGCUAAUCUGCGAUAAGCGCCGGUAAGGUGAUAUGAACCGUUAUAACCGGCGAUACCCGAAUGGGGAAACCCAGUGUGAUUCGUCACACUAUCAUUAACUGAAUCCAUAGGUUAAUGAGGCGAACCGGGGGAACUGAAACAUCUAAGUACCCCGAGGAAAAGAAAUCAACCGAGAUUCCCCCAGUAGCGGCGAGCGAACGGGGAGGAGCCCAGAGCCUGAAUCAGCAUGUGUGUUAGUGGAAGCGUCUGGAAAGGCGCGCGAUACAGGGUGACAGCCCCGUACACAAAAGCGCAUGUGCUGUGAGCUCGAUGAGUAGGGCGGGACACGUGGUAUCCUGUCUGAAUAUGGGGGGACCAUCCUCCAAGGCUAAAUACUCCUGACUGACCGAUAGUGAACCAGUACCGUGAGGGAAAGGCGAAAAGAACCCCGGCGAGGGGAGUGAAAAAGAACCUGAAACCGUGUACGUACAAGCAGUGGGAGCACAGGUUUACCUGUGUGACUGCGUACCUUUUGUAUAAUGGGUCAGCGACUUAUAUUCUGUAGCAAGGUUAACCGAAUAGGGGAGCCGGAGGGAAACCGAGUCUUAAUUGGGCGUUAAGUUGCAGGGUAUAGACCCGAAACCCGGUGAUCUAGCCAUGGGCAGGUUGAAGGUUGGGUAACACUAACUGGAGGACCGAACCGACUAAUGUUGAAAAAUUAGCGGAUGACCUGUGGCUGGGGGUGAAAGGCCAAUCAAACCGGGAGAUAGCUGGUUCUCCCCGAAAGCUAUUUAGGUAGCGCCUCGUGAAUUCAUCUCCGGGGGUAGAGCACUGUUUCGGCUAGGGGGCCAUCCCGGCUUACCAACCCGAUGCAAACUGCGAAUACCGGAGAAUGUUAUCACGGGAGACACACGGCGGGUGCUAACGUCCGUCGUGAAGAGGGAAACAACCCAGACCGCCAGCUAAGGUCCCAAAGUCAUGGUUAAGUGGGAAACGAUGUGGGAAGGCCCAGACAGCCAGGAUGUUGGCUUAGAAGCAGCCAUCAUUUAAAGAAAGCGUAAUAGCUCACUGGUCGAGUCGGCCUGCGCGGAAGAUGUAACGGGGCUAAACCAUGCACCGAAGCUGCGGCAGCGACACUGUGUGUUGUUGGGUAGGGGAGCGUUCUGUAAGCCUGCGAAGGUGGCCUGUGAGGGUUGCUGGAGGUAUCAGAAGUGCGAAUGCUGACAUAAGUAACGAUAAAGCGGGUGAAAAGCCCGCUCGCCGGAAGACCAAGGGUUCCUGUCCAACGUUAAUCGGGGCAGGGUGAGUCGACCCCUAAGGCGAGGCCGAAAGGCGUAGUCGAUGGGAAACGGGUUAAUAUUCCCGUACUUGGUGUUACUGCGAAGGGGGGACGGAGAAGGCUAUGUUGGCCGGGCGACGGUUGUCCCGGUUUAAGCGUGUAGGUGUGUGUUCCAGGUAAAUCCGGUUCACUUUAACACUGAGGCGUGAUGACGAGGCACUACGGUGCUGAAGCAACAAAUGCCCUGCUUCCAGGAAAAGCCUCUAAGCAUCAGGUAACAUCAAAUCGUACCCCAAACCGACACAGGUGGUCAGGUAGAGAAUACCAAGGCGCUUGAGAGAACUCGGGUGAAGGAACUAGGCAAAAUGGUGCCGUAACUUCGGGAGAAGGCACGCUGACACGUAGGUGAAGUGAUUUACUCAUGGAGCUGAAGUCAGUCGAAGAUACCAGCUGGCUGCAACUGUUUAUUAAAAACACAGCACUGUGCAAACACGAAAGUGGACGUAUACGGUGUGACGCCUGCCCGGUGCCGGAAGGUUAAUUGAUGGGGUCAGCGCAAGCGAAGCUCCUGAUCGAAGCCCCGGUAAACGGCGGCCGUAACUAUAACGGUCCUAAGGUAGCGAAAUUCCUUGUCGGGUAAGUUCCGACCUGCACGAAUGGCGUAAUGAUGGCCAGGCUGUCUCCACCCGAGACUCAGUGAAAUUGAACUCGCUGUGAAGAUGCAGUGUACCCGCGGCAAGACGGAAAGACCCCGUGAACCUUUACUAUAGCUUGACACUGAACAUUGAGCCUUGAUGUGUAGGAUAGGUGGGAGGCUUUGAAGUGUGGACGCCAGUCUGCAUGGAGCCGACCUUGAAAUACCACCCUUUAAUGUUUGAUGUUCUAACGUGGACCCGUAAUCCGGGUUGCGGACAGUGUCUGGUGGGUAGUUUGACUGGGGCGGUCUCCUCCUAAAGAGUAACGGAGGAGCACGAAGGUUGGCUAAUCCUGGUCGGACAUCAGGAGGUUAGUGCAAUGGCAUAAGCCAGCUUGACUGCGAGCGUGACGGCGCGAGCAGGUGCGAAAGCAGGUCAUAGUGAUCCGGUGGUUCUGAAUGGAAGGGCCAUCGCUCAACGGAUAAAAGGUACUCCGGGGAUAACAGGCUGAUACCGCCCAAGAGUUCAUAUCGACGGCGGUGUUUGGCACCUCGAUGUCGGCUCAUCACAUCCUGGGGCUGAAGUAGGUCCCAAGGGUAUGGCUGUUCGCCAUUUAAAGUGGUACGCGAGCUGGGUUUAGAACGUCGUGAGACAGUUCGGUCCCUAUCUGCCGUGGGCGCUGGAGAACUGAGGGGGGCUGCUCCUAGUACGAGAGGACCGGAGUGGACGCAUCACUGGUGUUCGGGUUGUCAUGCCAAUGGCACUGCCCGGUAGCUAAAUGCGGAAGAGAUAAGUGCUGAAAGCAUCUAAGCACGAAACUUGCCCCGAGAUGAGUUCUCCCUGAGACUUAGAGUCUCCUGAAGGAACGUUGAAGACGACGACGUUGAUAGGCCGGGUGUGUAAGCGCAGCGAUGCGUUGAGCUAACCGGUACUAAUGAACCGUGAGGCUUAACCUUACA
rnacentral:rRNA from 1 species